UUUCAGUGUAUUUUUGUUGACUAAAUUCUUCAAUAAACCAUUAAUGAAAGAUCCAAAUUAUAAAUCGACAUUAAAUCUUAUUAUCUUUUAGUUAGAGUAUAUAGGAUUAGGAAUUUUUGGUUCGAUAAAAUACACCGGAUUUUACUUUGGCGAUAGAUUUGAAACAAAAUGAAAGUUCAUGCCUUUAAAUGACAACUUUUAAAGUUCAUGAUUAAAAUGAAACUUCGUGUAAAGUUCGUGAUUUUUUAGGAAUUAACCCUAAAAAAAAGGCCAAAUAUCGUAAAAAGGCCAAAUCUUUCACAAAAGUUUCAUAAAAGUCGGGACUUUUUAAUUUUGUCUAUUUUGGCCAAAAACUGAUUAUUUGGUUUUACAAAAGUCCUGACCUUUUAAUUUUGUAUAUUUUGGCCAAAAACUGAUUAUUUGGUUUUACAAAAGUCCUGACCUUUCAAUAUAUGUGCAUGUCACGUAGGCGCCACAUAGGCAAAAUUGAAGACAAAUUGAGAGUUGACCACAAUUGAAACCAAAUAAUAUAUUUUUGGCGAAAAUCGACAAAAUUAAAAAGUCAGGAUUUCUGUGAAACUUUUAUAAAAGGUUUGGCCUUUUUAUGACAUUUGGCCUAAAAAAAUUAUAUGGCAUCUACUUUUUACGCUGCACAAAAUUAUGAAUCUAAGAUAUAGGAUUGAGAUUCCCUCAAGUUCUUUUUGAACUUGAGGAGGUCUUAUUAACAAUCUACACCGUUCAUUAUAAAAUGGACGGCGUAGAUCAAAAAGGUAAAAUUUUAAUCAAAUUAAUCUACACCAUUCAUUUUAAAAUGAAUGGUGUAGAUUAUGAACAUGAAUGCACUUGAGGGAGAUAUAUAGUAACAUCAUGCCAAAGCAACUUAUUUUUGAAGUUUUCAAAAAAUAACUUAUUUUUACUUAAAAGUUUAAAUAAAAUCCCAAGUAGGUUAAGAUAACUUCAAACAGGGGGAGAAAUGUUCUGAAUUUUUGGGUAAAAUUGCCCAUUGUACUAAAUCAAUAAUUUAACAGUAACCUGAUUUAAUAGUUGAUGAUUAUCUAACUUUAUCAACUAAACCAAUAAAAUCUAAAUUAAAAACUUUAUAUAUAAAAAACAAAAUCCAUCAAUUAGAUUAAAAUACUCUUUAAAAAGAUUGAACCCAAAAAUAAAAAAGAAUAUAAACUGAGCAUUUCGAUACAAAGUCAUAAAAUGUCUGAACUGAACUAAAUUGAAUUAAAAUAAUAGUGUGGGUCGAUUUUUGACCUAAAAAUAAUCUUUACAAUUUGAGUAUGGAUUUCUGAUUUUUGAAAAGCCAUACCAAUGUAUGAACUAAAUUGAAUUAAAAUAAUAGUCCCCGUAGUGUUAUAAAUUUCCUUAUUGUUUUUUUCUUGCAACAAUAACUUUUUUUAUUACGAUGAACAACCCUGAAACAUGCACCUGUAUGCUCUCUCAUUUUUGCUCUUUUCACCAAAAUUUCUUGAAUACAACCAACUCUGAAUUGGAAAAACUAGAGAUUUUUGGAGGUUUUACGGAUUUUCAGAAUAUGCAUGGCAUGCAAUAUCAAAACGACUUCCUACAUGAUUUACACAAUGAAGAAUCAACCUCAAAAAACCAGACAAACGACACUCAGAGUCAAAAUAACGAGAUUGAAGCGCUCUCCGUAGAAGCAAGGCGAACCAAGCGUGAUAAGAGACCACGGUCGGGUGCGAAGCGUAAUCUUUAUGAGAGGAGGCGUAGGGACCGAAUCAGGGAGAAAAUAAAAACUUUAAAAGAGCUCGUACCCCAUCGUCACAACAAGCCAGUGUAAGGAGCUAUACAUGUGUCAGCUCGAGCACUGCUUAUAUAUUAAUAAUGUUUUACCAACAGGGUUUAGAAAAGCAGAGCGAAGCUUCAAUUUUGGAUGAUACCAUUCACUAUCUUAAAGAAUUAAAGUCGAAAGUCGAAAUGCUAUCGUCAAGUAAUUGCCUGCAACAACCAGUUUUUACUCCAAUGGUGCACACAGUCAGUAGGCCUCCAACUCCGAGAAUGGAAAUGUUCAAUGUUCGUCAAUGUGAAGUCCUUCCAAUGCUACCAAUUCAACAAAUAUCUCCAUUUUCGACUUAUCAAUAUUUAUUUUAGGGCUUAGUUCUUUUAGCUUCUACUUUUUAUAAUGGACACAUUCCAUGAGAUAAUAUAUUAGGCUCAAUACAUAGUUUGACCCCUGAACUUGUACCCUUUUACCCAUCUAACCUCCAAACUUAACGUCUCACUUAUCGAACCCCUGAAUUUGUUAAAUAACCCGAUUUGACCCCCGAACUUGAUAAAUAUGUAAACAUUUAACUCCUCCGUACACAAUUUCUUCUAGAACGUUUCAAGUGACAGGUGGACACGAAGGGUUCAAUACUUACAUAUUUAUCAAGUUCAGAGGUUAAAUCAAACUAUUUAACAACUUCAGAGGUUCGAUAGGUGAGACGUUAAAUUUAGGGGUUAGAUGGGUAAAAGGGUACAAGUUCAGGGGUCAAACUAUGUAUUAAGCCUAAUAUAUUAUAUUAGAAUAUAAUUUAUCAUCACUGGUCUAUAUUGAAUUGGGUACGGUUGGGUGUUUAGUAUUGGGUUGGGCUGUACACAGCUCAGAAGAGUUGGAGCUUCGAAAAACUUAGAAUUGAAUUGAAAAUUGCGAUUUUUUAAAGUGUGAUAUAUGGAGACAUUAAAAUCCGGUA